rnacentral:rRNA from 1 species
AACGCGAAGAACCUUACCUACUCUUGAAUCCACGGAAUCUUCUAGAAAUAGAGGAGUGCCUUCGGGAACCGUGAGACAGGUGCUGCAUGGCUGUCGUCAGCUCGUGUCGUGAGAUGUUGGGUUAAGUCCCGUAACGAGCGCAACCCUUAUCCUUAGUUGCCAGCGAGUAAAGUCGGGGACUUUAAGGAGACUGCCGGUGAUAAACCGGAGGAAGGUGGGGAUGACGUCAAGUCCUCAUGGCCCUUACGAGUAGGGCUACACACGUGCUACAAUGGCCGGUACAAAGGGUAGCCAACCCGCGAGGGGGAGCUAAUCUCAAAAAGCCGGUCGUAGUCCGGAUUGGAGUCUGCAACUCGACUCCAUGAAGCUGGAAUCGCUAGUAAUCGCGGAUCAGAACGCCGCGGUGAAUACGUUCCCGGGCCUUGUACACACCGGAGUA